rnacentral:tRNA from 1 species
GCGGGGCGGAGCAAUCCGGUAGUUCGUCGGGCUCAUAACCGGAAUGUCAUAGGUUCGAAUCCUAUCUCCGCA